GGACUAGUCAUUCAAAACAUGGAUAAAUGUUUGGAAAUGCACGUCCAAUGCUCGGCCAGAAAUUUCAUAUCCAUGUCCAACCAUGGUUGAGGCUAUCACUAAAACAUAUCAGUCAAGAGUGUGAAAAUUGAAUUGAAAUUGUCGGCACCGACGUCUUCAAAGCUCAACAACUCCAGUUGGUGAGAUGCGGUUAUAAAAGGCCAUGCAAGACACACAACACAGCAGAGAGAGCAAUUGAGAGCCUGCAAAUUUCUGAGAAGUGAGAAAAAUACAAGGUAAUUUUAGAAGCUUGUGAGUCUGAUUGGGUGUACAAAGAGUAUUUUGAGUGGCCUUGUAAAUCUCCUAUUUUUCUUAGUGAAAUAUUCUUUUUGGCUUGCAGGUUGCGGUGGAGGAAGAUGGCACACGCACUUCCGAAAUUUGUUGUGCUGAAAUCGGUGCUCUCUAACCGCUACGCAUAUUACAUGACUGAAUCGGAGGCGCUGCGCGGUUAUGUUCGAUGCCAGGAAGAGGAGGUUUUCAGCCCAUUCGCAAAGAUUGAAGUGGAGACAGCGAAGAUAAACACUAGAUUUGUGCACCUGCGAUUUUGUUCCAACAAUAAAUACUGGGCACGACUCGGUGCGGAUAGAAAUGACAUUUGGAUCGUUGCCAAAGCCGAUCAACCAGAGGAGGAUAUGUCGAAGUGGUCAUGUACAUUGUUCGAGCCAACUCUAGGGAACGAUGGAUUCCUAUAUUUCAGGCACGUUCAAACGGGAAAACGUGUACGGACAAAUGGUGUGGGUUCAUGGGACAUUACCUCGCGGGUGUAUGUAGAUUACAGUGACAAUGGCGAUUCGACUCCUUGGUAUGCUUUCACAUUUGUGGAUUGGGAUACACUAGUGAUAAUGCCGAAAUAUGUUACAUUUAAAGGGUAUAAUGACAAAUACCUCAGAGCUGGCUGGAUCGAGAGGCAUGAGUACCAUCAAUUCUCAUCCGAUGACGGUAAUAAGGAAGAAACAGGAUAUGAGGUGAUAAUGAAUCCCGACGGACGCCUUCGGAUAAAGUCUAAAUUCUUCAAUAAAUUUUGGAGACGCAGUCCGAAUUGGAUCUGGGCUGAUUCAACUGACACUACUAGUAACAAUAUUGACACCUUGUUUUGGCCCGUCAAAGUUAACGAUAAUACCAUCGCUCUCCGCAACGCUGGGAACAACAGAUUCUGCAGCAGUCUUACAACCGAGGGCAAGAUAGAUUGUCUUAAUGCCGCCGUUUCCACCAUAACAACACCAGCAAGAUUACAAGUUGAAGAACUUGUCUUUGAAAGGCAAAUUAAUAAUGUUAUCUUUCGGAUGGAGGAUGCACGGAUCUUCGACGAGAGAGCUGUCGUCGCAGGCAUUGGUAGUGGCGUUAACGAUUCCCCCCAUGAAUCUCUUAUACGUGUUACCGUUUCGUUUGAAGAUACCAGCUCUUACACUUUUAGUAAUAGUUUAUCGAUAAUGGCGGGUGUCACAACUAGCAUUCAAACUGGCUUUGCACGCAUUGUCGAAGGAAAGAUUGAAGUCACGGCUGAGGUGACUACUUCGUUGGAGUGGAAUAGAACGACCACAGAAACAAGAAAAGCAGAGGCCACAUAUCAGGCUGUUGUGCCACCGAUGACAAGGGUGACAAUCGAUUAUGUGGCAACUCAGGGUACAUGCAACGUUCCUUUCUCCUACACUCAACGCGACAAGCUUUCUCAUGAUGGGAGCUCUCUCACCACUCAAAAGAUUGACGGUACAUACACUGGUGUCAAUUACUACAGCUUCCACUUUCGGCAAGUUAACUUCGAAACUAUAUAAGGUAGCAGAGCGUCAAAAGAUGCUGCAUUUCGUGGAGUGUUUUCCCAAACUAGACCGCUUGAAAAAUUUAUUUCCCUAAAUGUGUUAGUGAGUCAAUAAAUCAGUCCAUGCCAUGUUGAUUGAGCUAGUCAAUGGCUGUUAGUGAAAGUCCUAUAUUUUGUGUGUUAAUUUGUAUUUCUUGAUAGUCGUUCCUAAAAUUCCGCAUUUUGUUGAUGUUGUGCUCGGAAUAAAAUAUCCACUCAAAUUUCCUAUUUGUGUGUGUCUACCAAGUGUUUGAGAAAAUUCUUUGAGAGUUGACUUCUCUAUUUGUUGGUUUUAGACUAAUUUUUGUUAAUA
rnacentral:misc_RNA from 1 species